UGGGGAAUCUUGCACAAUGGGGGCAACCCUGAUGCAGCGACGCCGCGCGAGCGAUGAAGCCCUUCGGGGCGUAAAGCUCUUUCGACCGGAACGAUAAUGGCGGUACCGGGAGAAGAAGCUGCGGCUAACUACGUGCCAGCAGCCGCGGUAAUACGUAGGCAGCAAGCGUUGUUCGGAGUUACUGGGCGUAAAGAGUGCGUAGGCGGUUUUCUAAGUUCGGUGUGAAAUCUCCCGGCUUAACUGGGAGGGUGCGCCGAAGACUGGGAAGCUGGAGUGUGGGAAAGGCAGGCGGAAUUCCUGGUGUAUCGGUGAAAUGCGUAGAUAUCAGGAGGAACACCGGCGGUGUAGACGGCUUGCUAGACCAUAACUGACGCUGAGGCACGAAAGCGUGGGUAGCAAACA
rnacentral:rRNA from 1 species